UUUAACAGCGUCAUUUCCAGUCUCUGGCCUGAUCUUGUCAGGUCUCAGAAGCUAAGCCAGGCUAGACCUGGGGGUACUGGGAGAGGAGACCCCCAAGGAAAACCAGGUAGCUGCUGUAA
rnacentral:rRNA from 1 species